GAUGAACGCUGGCGGCGUGCUUAACACAUGCAAGCCGAACGAAGCACUUUAUUUGAUUUCCUUCGGGACUGAUUAUUUUGUGACUGAGUGGCGGACGGGUGAGUAACGCGUGGGUAACCUGCCUUGUACAGGGGGAUAACAGUUGGAAACGGCUGCUAAUACCGCAUAAGCGCACAGCAUCGCAUGAUGCAGUGUGAAAAACUCCGGUGGUAUAAGAUGGACCCGCGUUGGAUUAGCUAGUUGGUGAGGUAACGGCCCACCAAGGCGACGAUCCAUAGCCGACCUGAGAGGGUGACCGGCCACAUUGGGACUGAGACACGGCCCAAACUCCUACGGGAGGCAGCAGUGGGGAAUAUUGCACAAUGGGCGAAAGCCUGAUGCAGCGACGCCGCGUGAGCGAAGAAGUAUUUCGGUAUGUAAAGCUCUAUCAGCAGGGAAGAUAAUGACGGUACCUGACUAAGAAGCACCGGCUAAAUACGUG
rnacentral:rRNA from 1 species